CAGCGAGAAGAGGCUGAAUCCAAAGCCCGAGAAGAAGCAGAGAAACAGAGGAUCGAACCAGAGAAACACUUCCAGAAGGAGGAGCUGGAACGCUUGGAAAGAAAGAAGCGUCUGGAAGAAAUCGUGAAGAGGACUCGUAAGAGUGACGCAGGAGCACAGAAAGAUGUUAAAACUCCAACUCAAAUGAAUGGCAGAGUCACUGACAGCGUAAUCCAGAAAAAUCAGUCAGAAGCUCUUCAUAGUAGUGCGACAAACCAAUCACCAAUGA
ensembl:processed_transcript